GCCCGCCUAGCUCAAUCGGAUAGAGCGUCAGACUUUUACAAAAGCCUGUUUUUCGGGGGUUCCUUGCGUAAAGAGUUAAUCUGAAGGCUGCGAGUUCGACCCUCGCGGUGGGCU